UACGAGUGCUCCAAGCGUUACCCGGAUUUAUUGGGCGUAAAGGGUGUGUAGGCGGCUUAUUUAGUCUUUUGUUAAAGACCCGGGCCUAACUCGGGAAGUGCGAAAGAAACGGGUAAACUAGAGGAUGCGAGAGGUGUACGGAACUCACGGAGUAGGGGUGAAAUCCGUUGAUAUCGUGGGGAACACCAAAGGCGAAGGCAGUACACUGGCGCAUUUCUGACGCUGAAACACGAAAGCGUGGGUAGCGAAUGGG
rnacentral:rRNA from 1 species